CCACCUCCAACAAGAAGCCCCGCCUCCUUUUUCCUGUCCGGCGUGUCAAUGAGCGUCAGAGAAAAACCAGAUCAGAUCCUGAUCCUCUGACUGUGCAGCACCGGCUGUUCUCUUGGUAGACAACAGCAGGUUGAGGGUUUGAUUCCAGGAAGGCUCUCACUCUGACAUCAACAUUUCCACCUGCUGCCCCUCCCACCUGUGCUGCCCCGCCUCCAUCCCAGGUGGACUCUUUCUUCCUGGUUCAGUGUGUGCUGCAGCUGCGUUGACUCAGUGAAGGCUGGAAGAAGGUGUGUGGGAGCUGAUCCUCAAUCCAGCAGCAUGGAUCAGUGGGAGAUGGGAGAUAGGGAGAUGGGAGAUACAGAAAGGAGAGAUGGUAACCAUGACAACCAGAGCAAAGCUCAGAGUCUUCACAGGAACCAACCUGGACCUGGAUCUGGACCUGGACCUAGAUCUGCAUCUGGAUCUGGAUCCGGAUCCAGCUGUGUGUCCUUCAAGAGUGACAGGUCAAAGGGCAAUAAUCCUGAAUUCAAUGCCGCCAGUUCAACAGUAGAACAGACACAACCUGGACCUGGAUCUGGAUCUGGAUCCAGCUGUGUAUCCCACAUGAGUGACAGGUCAAAGGGCAAUAAUCCUGAAUUCAAAGCCGCCAGUUCACCAGUGGAUCA